rnacentral:pre_miRNA from 1 species
CAAGUACUCCCGCCGUCCGGAAUUACUUGUCAUCAAAAUGGAUGUGUCUAGAACUAAAAUACAUCUAGAUACAUCCAUUUGAAUGACAAGUAUUUUCGGACGGAGGGAGUAUAAG